rnacentral:rRNA from 1 species
GGUUCGAUCCUGGCUCAGAUUGAACGCUGGCGGGAUGCUUUACACAUGCAAGUCGAACGUAGCUGCGGACUUCGGUCUGGUGGCGAGUGGCGAACGGGUGGUAUGUAUCCGGAACGUGCCUAAUGGCGGGGAUAACCGCGAAAGCGUAGCUAAUACCGCAUACGCCCUUCGGGGAAAGCGGGGGACCUUCGGGCCUCACUAUUAGAGCGGCCGAUAUCGGAUUAGCUAGUUGGUGGGGUAACGGCUCACCAAGGCGACGAUCCGCUAGCUGGUUUUGAGAGGACGACCAGCCACACUGGGACUGAGACACGGCCCAGACUCCUACGGGAGGCAGCAGUGGGAAUUUUUGGACAAUGGGGGAAACCUGAUCCAGCCAUCCCGCGUGUGCGAUGAAGGCCUUCGGGUUGUAAAGCACUUUUUUGGCAGGGAAAGAAACGGCACGGGAUAAUACCCCGUGCAACUGACGGUACCUGCAAGAACCAGCACCGGCUAACUGCGUGCCAGCAGCCGCGGUAAUACGUGGUGCAAGCGUUAAUCAACCUUACUGGGCGUAAAGCGUGCGCAGGCGGUUCGGAAAGAAAGAUGUAAGGAAAUCCCAGAGCUUAACUUUUGGAACUGCAUUUUUAACUACCGAGCUAGAGUGUGUCAGAGAGUGGAAUUCCGCGUGUAGCAGUGAAAGUACGUAGAUAUGCGGAGGAACACCGAUGGCGAAAACAGCCUCCUGGGAUAACACUGACGCUCAUGCGAAAAGCGUGGGGAGCGAAGCAGGAUUAGAUACCCUGGUAGUCCACGCCCUAAACGAUGUCAACUAGCUGUUGGGGGCCUUCGGGCCUUGGUAGCGCAGCUAACGCGUGAGGAGUGACCGCCUGGGGAGUACGGUCGCAAGAUUAAAACUCAAAGGAAUUGACGGGGACCCGCACAAGCGGUGGAUGAUGUGGAUUAAUUCGAUGCAACGCGAAAAACCUUACCUACCCAGCCGACAUGUACGCAGGUCCCGAAGAGAUUUGGGAGUGCUCGCAAGAGAACCGGAACACAGGUGCUGCAUGGCUGUCGUCAGCUCGUGUCGUGAGAUGUUGGGUUAAGUCCCGCAACGAGCGCAACCCUUGUCAUUAGUUGCUACGAAAGGGCACUCUAAUGGGAACUGCCGGUGACAAACCGGAGGAAGGUGGGGAUGACGUCAAGUCCUCAUGGCCCUUAUGGGUAGGGCUUCACACGUCAUACAAUGGUCGGGACAGAGGGUCGCCAACCCGCGAGGAGCCAAUCAGAAACCCGAUCGUAGUCCGGAUCGCAGUCUGCAACUCGACUGCGUGAAGUCCGGAAUCGCUAGUAAUCGCGGAUCAGCAUGUCGCGGUGAAUUACGUUCGGGUCUUGUACACACCGCCCGUCACACCAUGGGAAUUGGGUUUUUACCAAGUAGUUAACAAGGAGGGCGAUUACCACGGUAGGAUUCAUGACUGGGGUGAAGUCGUAACAAGGU